AUGAACGCUGGCGGCGUGCCUCAUCCAUGCAAGUCGAGCGAACGGACGAGAAGCUUGCUUCUCUGAUGUUAGCGGCGGACGGGUGAGUAACACGUGGAUAACCUACCUAUAAGACUGGGAUAACUUCGGGAAACCGGAGCUAAUACCGGAUAAUAUUUUGAACCGCAUGGUUCAAAAGUGAAAGACGGUCUUGCUGUCACUUAUAGAUGGAUCCGCGCUGCAUUAGCUAGUUGGUAAGGUAACGGCUUACCAAGGCAACGAUGCAUAGCCGACCUGAGAGGGUGAUCGGCCACACUGGAACUGAGACACGGUCCAGACUCCUACGGGAGGCAGCAGUAGGGAAUCUUCCGCAAUGGGCGAAAGCCUGACGGAGCAACGCCGCGUGAGUGAUGAAGGUCUUCGGAUCGUAAAACUCUGUUAUUAGGGAAGAACAUAUGUGUAAGUAACUGUGCACAUCUUGACGGUACCUACUCAGAAAGCCACGGCUAACUACGUG
rnacentral:rRNA from 1 species